rnacentral:lncRNA from 1 species
GAGGAGUUUAUGAAUAAAAAUGAGAGAGAAGCAUGAAGGCAAAGGGGAUUUGUACCUGUGUGUGGACAAUGUUGAAGAUUUUCUUGAAAAAGUUGCAAACAAACUUUUAUAAUCAUAGUUUUCGUCAGCAAAAUUAACGCUCCUGUGGCGUUGUCAAAAUGUCGCCUCAUUUGAACCUCAAAAAACCAAAGCUGUCUGCUGCCCUGUGGGUCCAGCACCUCCAAAAGGAUGGAGAAAAAGGUCUGAUAGAAAGGGAGUAAGGUGUGCACCCACAUUCAUAUAAAAUAAUUGAAUACUUUGAUCCACCUCCCCUAGCAUUGAGUCUUUGCAUUAGUCUUAUGUCCGUCUCCAGCCUCGGUAAACACAGAUUUCGACAUAAAAAGCUCCAUCAGGAUAAAACAAACUGUGAAAUAUAAAUGGAGUUUUCUACUGUUGCAAAUAUUCUGUUUGCUGAGAGAAAACUUUCUCAGUCCAGCACUUUAUCUGUGUGUAUUUUUCACUCAGUAACUCUAUUAUUUUUUCCAUCCGCCUGUCAGCUGGUGGAGCCGGUGAAAAUAGUAGAACAGAAACAAAUCAAUGCAGGACAGAGCGGCGAAACUCGGUUAGGAUUGGCUGGGCAUCACCUCUCAUCUGUACUCUAUUAUCAUUCAGCCGGUCUCCAAACAAACACGGGCUCCUUUAACUGUCCCUCUGCAGGAGAUAGACUUGAACACCACAUUCACACCGCCAUCAAGAAGUAAAUACAGCUCGCCAUCACUCCAGCCUCCUUACACGCCGCAUUUUUCAUCGGCCUUGCAGAUAAGCUCGCCUGGGAUUGCUUCUUUUGCAGCCCCUUUUCACUUGCCUGCUCUCCAUCACACAUUAAGCAAAGUCAUGAUCCAGCUGGGGUUUCUACUGGAGCUCUUGGCCUGAAAAGAUGCUAACCCACAGAGCGGUAUUUCAGGCUGACACGUCGCCCCCGGUGCCAUAAUCAGGGGGCUCCGUCAAGCCAGGCAGCUGGUGUCAGAGCUGGUCCUUCAUCCUGAAACACUCAGCAUUUGAAUGCGUCCUUAAAACAAACAUGGUUUUGAAAUUCAAAUGCGGGAAAACACCUGGUACAUGGCAGUUGUCAAUUACAAACCAGCCAGUGGAUCAUUAGUGAAAUUACUCGUCUAAACAGAGAUGAAAGAGCAUUUUCAUGAUAAAACCACCACGUCUCAAACAUGGGAGCACAUUAGGCUCAAAAAUGGAGCACAUGCAGGUGCAAAUGUUUGUGUGCAAAGGUACAAAUUUGCAUGGGAAUACCAAACCUGUUCAAAGGGAUACUUUGAUAGUUUAAAAAUAAGAGGCUGGUAUAUUUAAACUUUCCUGAGCUGUAUGAACGUGAUUGCAAAAUGAUACAAGUUCAGAUACCGCAACUACAUUAGAGCCUUAAGUUAUGGGCUUUUAUUUUGAAGGUGCCACAAAAGGCUGUGGAGUGUUUGCAUUAGUGUACCUGGAGUAACUUCAGUUUUAGAGCCCUUAGACAUUAAGGCUUUUAUUUUAAAUGUGCCUUGAAAGCUGUAAGAGGGUUUAGAAGGAAAGUAAAAUUUGGUCCCACAUACAGAAAAAAUGAGGAGAGUAGUUGAUCCUAAACUACAAAGAAAAACCUAAAAGUGGUAGUUUCCAAAACCAAAAAACACAUUAUUAGUGUAGUUGAUCCUUGAUUUGAUCAGAGCCAACAGAAAAAUGAGGCUUUUAUUUUGAAAAUGUCAGAAAAGUGGAUAUGUUCCCUUUUUUAUGACAAAUAUUUUGUGAAAAUCAUGUAGAUUGAGUUUAAAUAAAAUCUUUAAUAUCCCUUUUUAUAUCAUUAGAGCAUUUAGACGCAACAGAUUUGUAUUUAGAAACGGAAUAAAACUUAGAUAAUUUAAAUACAUCAGAACUUUGCAAUUGGGAAGCUUUUAAUCUGAAACUACCAAAAAGUUAACCGAAAUAUGAAAAUCAUAAAAUUUAAAUGUAGUCCUUUUAAAGGGAUACUUCGGUGCCACCGGAUCCAUGAAAGGCUUUAAUUUGGGAAUAAGUUGGUACUUUUAAUUUGAAACUACCAGGAAAUUCUGAUAUGUAAUAAGUUUGAAAUUGAGGUCAAAGCCCUUAAAAAUAAAAAUACUGACGUUUAUGUAUUCAAACUUUAUUCUAUUCUAUUUUAUUUUUUCGUGUUUUCUAAAAUGUAGUUACACAUCAGAGAAACUAAAAUAUUUAAGGUUCCUUUUUAUUAAAGGUCAGAAGUCCUUUCCACAACAGAAUGAUUUAUAACUUUUCUUCUGUAUAAGGUUAAUGUGGGUGCUGAAAAUACAAAGUUGUGCAUGUUUUUUUAACAGAGAGAGCUAAACUACUGAAAUUCUUUUGACAUUUCUCUCUCAGAAAUUUUUUUUGCCUCCUGAGUAUAACUUUUUUUUCUUUUUUUAGAUGACAUUUACCCCGUACAAUGACUGCCAAACUCCAAAAGGACUUGAAUCUCUGUGUUGACGAGUGUGCUCUCUGGUCGGUUGUCAGGUGAAGUCUUAAUUAGGCCUUUAAUAAAUGGCAAAUUCACAUGAAAGGUCAGCCAGUACAGGCUGUGUAAUUUAAAGGUGGAAAUAUGUAGAUGGACUGCAGACUAAUGUGAUGAUAAAAAGGUACAAAAGAUCUCGUGUGUGUCUCUUCUCUACAGCGCUCUGCAGCAUUCCUCAGCGUAAUUGCAAUUCGCAACUUUUAAUAGUUUUUCUACGAAAUUUGCUCAAGGUUGGAGCUUAAUAACGUUUGAACGCCGAGUAAAUUAAACCAUUAAGAUAAAACGUUUGAAAUCCCCUGAUGACUGUCAUAAUAAAAACAGCUGUUUAGUUUCUGACUUUAAUCUGAAACUCAUUUGAAUUCAAUCUUUUCACCGGCUGAAUGUCUCUGUUUAUUUGAAUCUGUGUGGUGUCUGAUGAAGACAGAAUUUGAAGAAGUAAAUGUUGUUUUUGGAAGAAAAAUAUAACACAGAUUGGGAAGUGGGUGAACGAUGCUACAGUCCUGUACGUGUGUAAGCUUCGUUAGCUAUGAAAUGAAACAGAGAAGUAGAGUUUAAGUUCAUGAGCGCCAUUCAUUAUUUACCUUUGUGGGCCCUGUAUGUCCCCCCCAGUGCAACGCCCCUGCUACUUCGCUAAUAUUCGGCAUUUUAGAGCUCUUUUCAUGUCAUAUUGUUUAAUUUUGAACCUGUCCUCAGCUCUAUUUUAUUUUUAAGUGAGGAUAAUUAGUUAAAAAGUUGUUUUUCAAAUCAGAUAGUGUUGUGUUUUUAUUGAAAUUGGCUUUCUUUUCAAAUGAAAGUAUCCUGCACUCGUCAGGGGGUACUUGGCUGCAGACAUAUUUGAAGAGGGAGAUAUUAAUUCAUAAAAAGUGAGUCUUAGUCUCCAAAAGCAGAGGGCAAAACCAGUUGAGUUCAAAGACGACAGUACUGUACUCGAAGUUUGAGUUGACUGCGGCUGAAACUUGAAUAAUGUGAGGGAUAAUUGCCCACUCCAAGACGUCCGCUUCUUGACUUGAGGAGACUUGAACCCUCUCCAUUGUAAAUUGAAGAUGAGGGGUAAUUAUCAAAGAUGGCGGAGGAUCUUUGAGGACAAACACCUCUUCAGUAGCCAAUGGAAAUGAAGCGUGGCGUCUUAAAAGAGCUAAGAUUCUCAGAAAGAGGCUCUGCGUGUAAUUGGCGUUGAGAGGAUGACGUUGAAGUGUUUGACAUUACCUCCAAAGACCUGGACAGUUUCACUCGCUGCUCUGAACAGUGAAAAGGUCUCACAGUUCUGUACCAUGCCUACAUCUGCUCAACCCUACUUUCCAUUAACUUCUGAUUGUGCUCAUCGUUCCUUAUCCGCUCUAUCUUGCUUUUCAAGGACGGAGGGCCAGUUUACUUUUAUCAGAACAAUCCAAACUGCUGCAGAAACAGGAUCACCUUCAUUCACAUACAUGCCUGUUUGUCCCCCUGGCUUAUUAAAGGUGCAGAUUGGAAACAUGGUAUAAAUCACAUUCAUCAGCACCUCUGCAUGUCUGUAACACCAGCCAGUACACCCUGAGUAAAUUGACUUCAUGCUAUAGAAUAAAAAGACUCGAUGUUCAUCUCAAUAAGCUUUAGAUUUUGGCAUUUGUUUCUCACAUAUAGGACCAGUAUGAAACAGAAGACACCUUUACCAAAGUGGGACUCAGAUGUGGUUGCUUCAACAAGGAAUCUUAUUUAUCGCAUUUUCUGGACUGUAAGUCGCUCUUUUUUCAUAGUUUGGCUGGGUUUUCGACUUAUAUUCAGGUGCGACUUAUAGAUAUUAAAAUAUAUAAUUUCACAUAUAGUCUGACGACAGUCACGCAGAACAGGAAGUGGCACUUUGUCCACCUUCGGAGUUGGCAGAGUUGUUCAGAAGUGACACAUAGGAUGAAGAAUUCGAUAGAUUUAGUGAUUUGGAAUGAGAUCGAGAGUUUGGUCAACUUUUUUUGUUAUGUUUUUUAUAAUAUAGCUAUCUGAAUAACUGCUAAUAUGUUACGUUGACGAACCAGACACCAACUGAGUUCAUUGUUUAUUCUUCAUGUAGCUGAAUAACCAUCAACGUGUUACGUUAGCAUACCAUACACCUAUUCAGCCUGUUGUUCUCUGUUCAAUUGUUAUUAUAACUUGGCUUUCAAGAUGAAAUUUCUGUUCUUGGUCUUGAAUUUUGUAAAAUGAAUUUCCCCCAAAAAAUGCAACUCAUACCGGUACCUGUUUUUCUUCUUCAUUUUGCAUUUUUUGGCUGGUGCGACGUAUACUCUGGUGCGAUUUAUACUCCGGUGCAAUACGGUACUUUUUUACAUCAUAUCUAUUGAGUAAACAUGCAAAGACAGAUUUCUAUCUAGUGCAGGAUAAAUGCAUGUGUUAAACGUUAUUUUUUUUAAACUAUAAGCAUCACAUGCCAUUGCAUCAUAGGUCCAUAUGAGGAUAAUGUGAAAUCUGAGCAAUAAAACACAGAACUGAGACUAAUUAAAGAGCCAUUUGCAGCCUGGUAUUGCCUAAAGCCAGAUUAUCUGAUUCAUCUUAAAGAGCUGGUAUUCCCAUAACUAUUAAAAAACAUAUUUCCACUCUGCUCUAAAGCAGUAUACAGAUAUGAUCUGCACACAACCAGAGCCCGACUAAAGAAUGAUGUCAUUCGCCUCUGGCUACUGCAAACCCUUUUUUUGAACUUCCUGACUGAGCCGGACUCCACCACUUACUCAAAUAUUAACUCAUUCUGCCAUGCAGUGAUCUCUCUGAAAGCAUAUUUUGAAAGUGAAUUUUGUGUAAUGUGAUUCAAAACAUCGGAGUGGAACCAAACUGUUUACUUUAAACACAUAAAGACAAUCAACUCUUUUCCUUUUCAUGAUUUGACAGCGAGGACAUGCCUAUUGAUUCAAAGACCGAGCCUAGUUUUCCUGUUAGAUUAAUAUCAAUUCUAUAUUCAUUGCAGUUUUUCUACAAAGAGCAGUUUCUUGUCAUUUGACAUGACAGUUUGAAAGCUUGAAGUGGUGCUUUGGAGGCUGUGAGAUAUUCACUUCUAUACAUUUUUCACAUCCAGACAUAACGUCCUUUGAUAAAUCGUGUCUUCUUCUCAUCGAGCUGCCGUCUUUUGACAAAUUUAUUCAUAGUGACAUUUGAGAGAAAAUGACAGCUGUCUUUCAUUAAUGCUUUUUCAUCUGCUAAUUCUCCAGUGUUCCUGGCUGUUUUCCAACAGGGUGAAAUUGGGUGUCAAAGUCAUUUUCCUAAGUGAGUAAUUCCAGCUGACUGAAAGAAAAAAAGAAAUGUAGUCUUCAUUACGUCGUCUUGUCUCGUGUUAUUGAAAGAUGGAAUGAGUUGGAGAUGGAUUUGACAGCAGCCUAAAUGAGCUUCCAAAGUGCCGGGUGAUCACGCUGAAAAUACGCUGAAAUUAGACCGAGAGUCGGGCAGAAAAGACAUAGACUUCAUGACAAAUGGAUGGAGCCACCAUGACUUCACCGACAGUUUAAACUACUGACUCCUGAAGACUUGAGAUUGGGAUUUUGGAUGAUGCCAUGUUGAUUUUCUCAAACCAGAAGUGACUAAUGAGGCUAGAUGCUAAAUAAUCAAGGUAAUACAGUCUACACCCCUCGCUAAUCCACUGUAGGUUUUUCAAAGCUGUAUUUGAGAGUUAUUAUCGCUUGGUUUCAACAGGUGGCGCUGUUGCAAUAACAAAAAUUUAUAGGUGUCAAAAAAAUAAAUAACUAAAAGUUGGUUUUGGAUGUGUGUAGGUAGGCUAUGGUCUCAUGUCCCUUUAAGGCGCUGUACUACGUCAGAGACGUGACUCCACCCCAUCCAGUCUGUAACAAAGAGGGAAAGACAGGUGAGGAGAUGGAGGACGGUUCAAAAGUUGGAGCGGCUGAAGUAGACAAAGUUAAUGUGGGAGGGGGUGAGCAGCUUGUGGAGUAGUUAUCGUCCAUUUAUCGUUAUUGAAGUGAACUGCUCAAUAUAUCGUGAUAUUGAUUUGAGGCCAUAUCACCCAGCUCUAGUGAGACGUCAAAAUUUGACAUGCUAACAGUGCUACAGCAUUUGACGUACAGAAAAUACUUUGAUAACUUUUGAUCUUCAGUUUGUUUGCAGUACACUGUGUACCAUCGGGUUAAUAAAGCCAUAAAACAAUCACUAUAUAUACUGAACAGUGACAUAAAUGACACAAACUUGAGCCAGAGAUUUGCUUGAACUAAAUUGGCCCAUAGCGGCACAGCCACAGGUUGCCAAGAGGCUGCACCCCUAAAUAAGAGAGAGUUUUACACCAUUUUGAUGGUUUAAUUAUUCAAAUAAAAGUACCUCUUAACAAGAGUGAACUGUUGUAAAUUUGGGAAAUUUAAUAUGGGGCAUAAAUGGGGUUAACUCACUUUAAAACCGAGCCUCCAGUGGUCACAUGAAGAACUGCAGUCUUUGGCACCCCUGCGCUGACCCCAUUUAUUGCCUUUUGGUAUUUCAUCAAGAAUAUGGAGCUGAUUUUAUGUAAGUAUUUGAGUAAUUCAUUAUCUUUAGCUUCAUUUUAUGAUCCAGACUUUGUUUUUUAGCACACAAGUUAUGGAGACACUUGGACCUGUCUCCGAGGAAUAUUAAUAACACUCCUAAAACACUUUCUGCAGCCUUCUUGCAGGAUUAUGAAAAUAAGUAACUGUCCUUCAAGCUGUGCACGUCCAGACUGCAAAGCUGAGAGUUCAGCCAGGACAGGCAGGACUAAAAAAGAUGAAAAUUCAUGUUCUCCUUGAUGUUUCAAAGAUUUCAUCUAGUAUUCAGCUACAAGGAAUCAGUAAGAUAAGACAUUUCUAAGAAGUUCCUGGUUUAUUUAAGGAUUCUUAAUCACAGAGCAGACUCUUGUUUAAAUAUUUCUACCCUGGGAAAACAUACCUAGACUUGUGGCACAUAACAGUUGAUUAAAAUGAAAAACUUUGCAGCUUUUUCUUGCGGUUUGAGGAUCAGAAAUGUGUCUUUGAUUGGAUAAAAGUACGCUGGCGGAAGUAAAAGUGAAAACGUCUGUGUUCUUUAGACUAAAAUGUCUUACUGAAGGUACACACAAGCGGAAAAUCAAACUUCAUACAUAAUUAUUUUGUUGUUUCUGAAGUUUUCUAAAACACUUCAAAGGGUUUCUUUUGCAUUUUACAUUCAUGCUCUGCAUAAAACGCCUGUCAGAGUUUUAAAGAUCCUCCUUUAGAUGACUUUUUUCAGAGCUUGUUAUCUGAUGUGCGUCUGUUGUGUGCAGCAGUGAAGAUGUUCACGUUAUUCUGCGGCACAAGUUUACUUCAGAGCCUAGAUGUCAACACCGUAAACUGACCAAAGCAGGAAAAAUGAGGGGACAGAUGCACAAGGGUUAACUGCUACAAAACGCUUUAAGAUGACAGACCACCAAAAAGGAUUUGUACUCUUCGAUGUGGUCAUGUUCUCACGGUGGAAAGAGAUGAAAAAACGGUCAACAGAUGUGCUUCUGUUACAGCAAGAUGUCAACAACUACCGGCUCAUGAAGCCCCGACUCCAGGCCCACAACCUUCAGCCUCUCCCUGAUGCUUUCAUUUAGCCUGAGGGUGUACAAUUCAGCUUCUGAGUGUUUUUUAAUCCAAAUAAAAGUCUAACCUGCUGCACAAAUAUACAAGAGUGUUUACCUAUGCUGUUGGAGCUGACAUCCUCUCAUGUUUGAGGCGUUUUAACCUCUGCAGAUUGUGCAGACAGCCGUUUAGUUUCUUCAAACUUUGAUCUUUCAUUGGCUGUGUAAAGGAUAAUGUCCGGUGAAUGGUUUGAAUGCAAAUUAGAAUCAUUAUAGGGCAAUAAAGACCCCGAAGCAAACCAGAUGGAUUUUAUAUUAUCACUCUCCAUGGCAACGGUUACUAAUCAGCCUCUUUGCAGUUUGAGUUAAUGAUUAAACAUUUCAAAAUCAAGUGACUUGAGAUAAAGUCGACAGGACUUCAGCUCUCUGUUGUCUUAGAGUUUUAGUACAAUGGUUCAAUUCUGUCUCAAGGAUAAGUACCAGGCAAUAGUAUCCCUGCUGUCAUAGGGUGACCAUACAUAUCCUCUUUUUAGGGGGGUUGUCAGGCUCUGUCCGGGGAAGUUUAUAAGAUCCUUCCAUGUCUGCGGUUUUGUACUUAAGUGUCGACUUACUGAGUUAGAAGCCCAUAAAAGACACUGGAUCCGACCCGAAAAACUCUCAAAUUAACGUUAUGUGACUCUGUGACUCCGCCCCCGUGUAGUCGUGUCCUCUUUUUGGGAAGUCAGAAUAUGGUCACCCUAUGCUGUCACAACUCUAUGGUGGCAAUAUUUACCUUCUCAGGUAACCCCCCCUCCAUACAGACCUGCGGAAGACAAAUGGCUUGUACAUCAUUUCCUAGAUUAGCUUCACACCCAAAAUAUGGUCCUUUCCUCUUCCACUUCCUCCUGCUGCUUCAGUACAGCUCUUAGUCACCCAACAGUCAAAUCCGAGCAAUGCAAACCCUGACUGCGUUUGAUCAAGAGGUAAAAUCCUUGCAAAGAGGCGGACAACUUCAACGAGACAAAGUCCAACAGUCAAGACCGCCGUUAAGCACACCCCCAUCAAAAUAGUCAGAGCUGCAGGAUAUGAGCCACAAACUUGGCCUUCCUACCCUCACCUUCAAGUUUUCACGUCCUGUCGCUUUGUGAGGAGUUUGAAGCGGAAAAAAAAAGCGAAGUGUUCGACUAGGUCAUUGAGGAUUGGUCCUUAGCAAUUGGCUUCUCCGUGCUGGAGCGUGUUUGAUCACAAAGGACCUUGCCUAAAACCAGACUUUCACCUGAUCCAUGUUCAGUUUGCAUAUUCAAUGUUUAUAAAUGAGACCCAUCGUGGAUUUCAGGGGUUGAGGUCCACAUCUGUUUGGGAUGUUGCACCCUGACUGUGGGAGGUUCAGUGAUGUUUAACGCAGAGCUAUCCACAAGUAUGAGUAUGUUAAUGCCUCUAAACGUAAGGAUUUAGUGCAGACGGGAAAAGAACAAACAAAAACCCUCAUCCUCCUCCGUACAUGAGGCUGAGUUUCCACGGGUGCAAUCUUCUCCAAGUUUGAACUUUAAUUUCAGUCACAAAUGAGGAAAAACUGGAUUACUUUCUAUCUUACUCUUCAUUACAGCAUUCAUCAGCUUUUGAUGAAACAAAAGGGAAUAAAGCGGCUCUCCAGCACUUACAGCCGUUUUUUUAAAUUACCCUGAUUAUCCUGCGGGGAGCUGCUACAGUUACAGUAAACAUUCAGAGUCUGUUAUUCAGCCUCAAAACUCAUAUGGGAAAUGGAGGGUAAAAUAUUUACUGCUGCCUUGUUAGCAUCGUUAUUCUCCAGCAAUAUACAGCAUGAAAGGAGUAACUCACAUGGUGUUUAUUUGUUCCAAAGAGCCACAUUUCUGUCGGUUUUUAUAGGACUGGCAUCACAAUAACGCUGAAAGUAAAAAAAAAACACAAAGUUUACAGGGGAAAAUUGGAUUUCGGCUUCAGACAGACUCAGACGUUUCACAGUAUUUUACUCCCAGAUGCCCUUAUUACAAGUGUUGCUGGGUUUAAUCAUGUUUAUAAUCAAUAUCCUAAUCCUCUCAUAUGGCUGCAAAUAAAUUCAUGUGACUUUAUGCUUGAGGGCCACCGUAAAGGAAUUAAAAUAAUGAAACUUCAGCCCUUCUCAGCCUUUGUUCUUAUUAUUAUUAUAAAUUGAUCACAGUGUCGGAGCACACGCGGGGUGAAAUUGAAUUGAGUUUCUCUCUGGAAGGAGAAAAGAACAAAAAAAAAAACAGUCGAAGCUGACUGGCUAAUUUUGUAGUUGGCUUGAAUCAAGAUUGCCCCAUUUGAUCCAUGGCAGAGUUUCAAAACAGUUUAUCUCCCGAGCCGCUGUUAUUUACGAGGCUUUGAUUACUGGAAUUGGAAGGACACAGACUCCCACCAAAAGCUGAUUUCUGCACCAAACCCCCCUGACGCUGAGUUAGACUUUCACCUCCGCCGAAAGCUCCUCUGGUUUUUUUCGAAGAUUGGAGACGAUGGCCUUAUCAGAGACUCUGCGAGGAACUUUAUUAACCAAGAUUCAGCUUUUUUAUUCAGUGGCACUGCUUGGUUGGAGGAAUUCUUCAGAAAUGUCAGGAUGCCAAGAAUUACUCAGAGAAAUGCAGAGGCGGGUUUCUUUCAGAUGUGGAGGCCUUGAACUGAUUUAAGAGACCGGUUCCUUUCUCAAAUAUUCCCAAUUUUACAGAUGUGUAUGCAGACACAACAAAAAAAUUGACAUAUUGUUUCCCCUUUAAUCAUGAGCUGUGAGUAGAAGAAGAUUGCGAGAACAAGCAGGAUGGCUGGGCUCUCCUUCAGAUAUAGUGCGAGAAGCGCGGUCAUCUGGGAGUAGAGCUGCUGCUCAUCCGCGUUGAAAGGAGUCAGAAGAGGUGGCGUGGGAAUCGAAACAGGAUUUCUCGCUGGUGAGGUGUUUAGAGCACGUCCCUUAAGUAGGAGACCACUGAGAGGACGCAGGACAUGCUGGAGGGACAGUAUCUCUCAACUAGCCUGGGAGUGACAUUGACUUUUAUGUCUGGUUUGAAUGUGGAAAAACAAAACAAAAAAAAAGCCGCUCUGAGGUCGGAACUGUGACAAAGAGCCACUGGGGAAACCUGCCUGUCAGAUUUGGGGUUUUUCCACUUAUUCCCACUGCUGCUGUGUUAUUUUGGUGAAUCCAACAGUGAAGCGUCUGAUAUGAAACAUCUCCAGAAGGUUAAAUGUUAAUUGAGUAGCUUACAGGAACAAGACCAGUAGAGUAGAAAGGCGACUGGAGGGCGAGAUUAGCAGUAUCUGAUGACAGAUUGGUGAAAUGGACUCUGAUUAGUGUUAUGGAAAUACAAACGUUCUGUAUUUCUGCCAAUGUGGACUAAUUUUUGAGGCAUCCCUUUGUGAGAAUUUUCCCUUUCCGCUGUGAGAUGUUUCCUCGUUCCUCUCCGUCUCUCUGUCACAUGAAUCCUUGUAUCUUCUAAGGGUAUCUUGAAUCCCAGCGGGCCACAGAAGUAAUCUGUUUUUAACUCACCAGCCCUUAUCGUUGCCUCGCUGCAGCCGCCUGCCUCCUGCUCAGCUAUUACCCGCCAUUUCUCGUCACGUUACGCUUUAAUGGUCCUUCUGUUUCACUUCAUCACGCUGCCACCGUGCAAAUGCACCACAAAUGCACAUUUUAAUAUCUGCACAAAGGAAUAACAUGGGAAGCAAUCAAACUGAACAGGACCUGAAAACACUGGAUUUGUGGCUCCAAACUGCAGACACGUGUAUAACACAGCGACAGCUACACUUUACUAAGAGGGCUUGGAUGUAAACCCUGAGUUACACUCUAGGUGCUGGACAAGAGCAGGUAUUUUACUCAGAUCUCCUUUAAUCAGACACAUGAAAAGUAAAAAUGACAAGUGAAUCAUGUGUGUCUUAUAAUAGCAGCUUCCUGUAUGCUCACUUAAUGGACAUCUCCUCCCAGCCUGAAUAACCGAUGAGCCUUAAAGCAGAUGACUAAUAGGUUUGGUAGUGGUUGCUAUUGGAGACCAAGACCCAUUUGAUAAUCUUAAGAUUCAGAGAUAGUCCAGCUGCAUUGAGGAUUUCAUCACUCGAAGGCUGAAAGGUCCCCUCUGACGCACUUUCAUCAUUUCUAACCCUAAACCAGCUGCAGCGUUUUCUCCGAGUUACGCCACCUUCUCUUUCUCACCUACAAGCUACAAGAUCAAGAUGUUCUACAAGCACUCUGGCACAGCGUGUGUCAAACUCUACAGAUGAAAUACAGUGUGAGUUUGCAGAAAUAGAACCUGAACAACCAUAAUUUCUAUCCCCCCUUAGUGUCGUAAUCAAGAUGCAUAUUACAAGAACUCCUGACUUUCUAAUUUCACUGGCUCCUGCAUUCAAUUAUCUUAAGACAAAAACAAGAACAACUGAAGAUUCUCCCUUAAAAGCAUUUAAAAACAUCUAAAAUGAAUAAAGUUAAACAUUUAAACCCAUGUUCUCCAGUUUGCAGCCUGUUAGCUCAGCAAACGCACAAUCAUACAGUCUGUACGAAUUUGGAUGACUCACUUUCAUGCAUGGACAAAAGUAGAAAUAGAGCGUAUGGCUCCUAUAAAGACUUUAAAGUUGGUUUCUAUCCGUUAGACCUUUCGUAUAAAUGUUGACAAAGUUCAUUUGUUCACAGAGACGCCAAAAUCAACUCAUAUUAACUUCCUCUCAGGGGCUUAAAGGUUCCCGAGCAUUUCUGCACACGUUCACUUAAGACUACAAGAUUUUUAGCAGUUCUUUUUUGAGUCCAACAGAAUGUUUCUGCAAAAUUUUAACCAAUUUUUGAGAAUUGAUUUCCUGAGAUGUUGCAGUUUUAAAAUUGUACGUCAGACGUCUUUUGCCAUCGUAAGGGCGUCUUGAAAUCUAGUUGAUAAAAAAUUAUUUUCUCACAGUAAAAAGUAGUAUAAAGGAAAUGCUUGAGCUGGUUUUAAGUUUCUAUUUUUUAAAUUUUACCUUCAUUCAAACACAAAAGGAUCUGCUGUCAAGUAAAAAAGCAGCCUUUGCUUUCAGAUACAUCAUGAUUACAAAGCCACGACUUUCCCCUGCCGAACAUGAAUACCUGCAGCAGCGUGAUCCGUCACCCGGUGCCUGUCGAAAAUACAGGACAUGUAAUGAUUGGCUUCACGACGCAGUGAGAGCUUUACAGCCGCUGAAAGAUGCAGAAGAGUUUAGAGGAUUACGCCUUCGUCUGUUUGCAGAGUCCACUUUCUUGAAUUUAAGGAUGAUAAGUUAAUAUCAUUUCUCUUCAACGUAGUGAAAAAGAGAGCCUUCACAUUCUCUCGUAUUACAAAGUUUAAGGAGCUCUGCAAAAAGCAAUUUAAGCAGCGGAAGUCAUAAGCAGAGGGAAGCAGCAAUCACGCGUCUUAUAAACAUGAAAUGAAGUCAGAAUCCAGAAGUAUGAUGUGCAACAACUGAAAAUUGGCCCUCGGCAGAGCAACAGGGGAAAUUUUCUUUCGAUGUUGCGUUGCUAAAAGGUAAUUUAGGCUAAAUAAACUGGGAACUGUUAUUGUUGGAAGAGGCACCAUUACCUCCUUUCAAUCAUAUCAACUUGCAAUUCUGUGGAAGAUGUAGAGAAUAAUGGUUUUUAUAGGCUACAUCAAAUUGCUCCCUCCUCAGCUCGCCUGAAUUCUCUCCUCUUCUCCACACAUAGGUUGAAAGAGGGCGAAUUUUUAAAAAGUGCCAUGCCAGCUGCCUGUAUUCAGGUAAUUAAUGCUUUCACUUUCUGCUGAUGAGCUCCCUCAGUCACACACGGGAGGCCAUCGUGAGGGAAAGGCUCUCUGUGCACCAAACAAAACACACACAGCCUGUUACAUUAGUUUCUCUCCCGUCUCAGAUCCCUGCCUUUAUUUGUUCCCUCCCCCGCCGUCUGAUCGUGCGGCGUUCAAAAAUGUGUUUUUUAAACCUCUCCCCUUUCAGACGCUCCGGGAAAAUAAAUAUAUAAAUGCACAAAUAUUGUUUGUCAAAUGAGCAGCAGCUGAGGUCUGCAAACACGAUAAGCUACUGGAACACACUUUCUUUGGAUCAGGUACGCAGCAAAUCUGAAAACCUGAUCCUGAAAAGACAACCUUCAGAAAGGACCUACAUUUUUGUGACAUAAUAGAAAUAACCUGAAACUAUCACAACAACUACCCAAAAGAGGUUGGAUCCUCGUUAUUAUAAAGGGAUAUUUCAGAGUUUUUGAAGUGAGUUUAUCACUUUACUCUGCUAUCAGAAAGCCAACUUCUUUUGCACUAUUUACAGACGCAACACAAAUCAUAAGUUUACAUGCACGAUUAAGUUAAGCUAGGAUUAUAGCUCAGUUAGCUGAUUUAAGUGGACUACUGUCAGGACCACUUUAGUCAAAAUUAAUUAUUUAUUACAAGCGAACAUUUUUACAUUGGCGUUAUGGUUCUGUUCUGAGAGUUCCCUGUCCUUCCAUGUCUUUGCAUGGAAUGCCAAGGCUAUAAGAGAGGAGAGCCCCUCCCCUCCCUUUCAUGUCCAUACAUGAAGCGCCAAGGCA